rnacentral:rRNA from 1 species
GUCCACGCCCUAACGAUGUCUACUAGUUGUUGGGUCUUAAUUGACUUAGUAACGCAGCUAACGCGUGAAGUAGACCGCCUGGGGAGUACGGUCGCAAGAUUAAACUCAAAGGAAUUGACGGGACCCGCACAAGCGGUGGAUGAUGUGGAUUAAUUCGAUGCAACGCGAAACCUUACCUACCCUUGACAUGGAUGGAAUCCCGGAGAGAUCUGGGAGUGCUCGAAAGAGAACCAUCACACAGGUGCUGCAUGGCUGUCGU